GGAGGUGCUCGAGGGGCUGGUGCCCCCCCCGGACUUCAAAUCCGGUGGCGGGCGCUAAGACCGUCCGCGGUGGGUUCGAUUCCCAUGCACCUCCGCCA
rnacentral:tRNA from 1 species